rnacentral:lncRNA from 1 species
GUGAGAGAGAACAGGAGAUGUGAAAUUGUGAGAGAGUAUCAGAGAUGGGAAAGUGUGAGAGAGAACAGGAGAUGGGAAAGUGUGAGAGCGAACAGGAGAUGGGAAAUUGUGAGAGAGUAUCAGAGAUGGGAAAGUGUGAGAGAGAACAGGAGAUGUGAGAGGGUGAGAACAGGAGAUGGGGAAAGUGAGAGCGAGAGAGAGAGGGAGAGGAAGAGGAUUGUUUGAUGAGCCUAAUGAAGAUUAAUCACCCAGAGAGGCAGCUGUUGCCCCCCACCUCCUAGCAGAGAUACAGGAAACUCAUCUAAUCUAUCAAAGUGCUCAUAUUACGGCUGAGGUUUGUCGACAGGCGGUACGCAGACACUCCAAACAGAUUGAGGUUGGUCCUGCAAACAAACAGACAGAGACAUCCCAGUCCCACUGACUGUAAAGGGAGGUGACACUUUAAAAGUGGCCAAUAUGCUGCUCUAAUUAUCAUUAUGUAAAUGAAUGACACUAAUGUCUAUGGACAUUGCAACAGACACGGGUGCAUCUACAUCAUGGGAGCCAAAGGGUGUCACUGGCAGAGCCCAGAAGACCACAGUAAGAUCUACGAGGGAUCUACUACUGAUGGAAAGGCACCACUGCAGAAUUACGUAACAGAAAUCAUAUUCCCGGGCUACAUAGUACAUACAACUUCAAUAUAAGAGUUACACACUAGCUGCCACUGCCAUUACAGGAGACAAGUUGAGAAAGUGGUGAAGUCAUGACCUCUGGUGGACACGGU